ACAUACCUGCUUUUAGACGAGGGCCGUUGGCACUGUAGUGUUUUACACUGUUUGAUAUCUGUCCUAAACAUUCAUACAUUAUUCAUUCAUGUCGAAAGAAAAACCUCUUUGCAAAUAAUUAACAAACAGUAGUGAAGUUGAUCUAAAAAUAGGUUGGAAAGAAUUCCAGAUCCCUGCACUCAGUUGGAUAACAUAAAUGUGAAAAGCUUAGAUGUUUUUUUUUUAGGGCUCAGACAUUAAAACGCCUACGUAUAUCGGCCAUUAUAAUAUUAUAAAGAUGCAAAACAUGGGAGUGACGCAACCUUACGCGUACUGGCGACUGAAGCUAUUUAUCUUGAUGCCACGGCUGGGGAGACAUUUAUUCGGCUCAAGCAGGGAGAGACAUUUUGGAUUUACUCGUGGAAAGCGACUCGCCAUCCAGGCCUCAAUGAAGAUUUUGACCUUUCAACCUAACUCGUUUCCAAAUGAAUUGUGAUCUGCUUAUUAUUGUUCACCUGUUCACUAAUUUAUGUGGCUAUCCAAAGAAUUCAGGAAUCAUGAGGGAGCACCCAAGCAACACCUCCUUCCGCGCUCGAAUCAUAAGCCGAAGCGGCCAGAAUUCAUCUUUCACCUGACAGGGCGCCUCCUCCGCUCGACGCAACGAGAAGCCGAGGCUCGCGGCUCCUCGUGAGCCCAGAGGUUCCACCUGGUUUGUCAUCCGAUUCCAGUGGGAGGGAGGCAUGAAGACGGCUCCUACUGACACCUCUUCCAGGAAACAUCAGCAGCAGCUCCCUCGGAAAGUGAACGUUUCGUGCCUCUGCGUGCUGUGGACUUUAUUUCCACUGAAAAUCAGCUGUGUCGCAAACAAGGGGAAAUUGCAGGCUCAGUAAUUACUGUAAUAGCGAGAGUGACAUCAAUAGAAGUGCUGUAAUAGUUUUGGAAAUCAUUUCAUUCUAAUAUACUAUUAAACUACUAAUAAAUUGAUCUACCUUCAGUUUGUUCAGAGUUGGAAUUUUGUCUGUAAUAAAUAAUGCAAAUAAUCUCA